rnacentral:rRNA from 1 species
GGUUAAGCGACUAAGCGUACACGGUGGAUGCCUAGGCAGUCAGAGGCGAUGAAGGGCGUGCUAAUCUGCGAAAAGCGUCGGUAAGGUGAUAUGAACCGUUACAACCGACGAUACCCGAAUGGGGAAACCCAGUGCAAUUCGUUGCACUAUUGCAUGGUGAAUACAUAGCCAUGCAAGGCGAACCGGGGGAACUGAAACAUCUAAGUACCCCGAGGAAAAGAAAUCAACCGAGAUUCCCCCAGUAGCGGCGAGCGAACGGGGAGGAGCCCAGAACCUGAAUCAGCGUAUGUGUUAGUGGAAGCGUCUGGAAAGUCGCACGGUACAGGGUGAUAGUCCCGUACACAAAAAUGCAUAUGUUGUGAGUUCGAUGAGUAGGGCGGGACACGUGACAUCCUGUCUGAAUAUGGGGGGACCAUCCUCCAAGGCUAAAUACUCCUGACUGACCGAUAGUGAACCAGUACCGUGAGGGAAAGGCGAAAAGAACCCCGGCGAGGGGAGUGAAAUAGAACCUGAAACCGUGUACGUACAAGCAGUGGGAGCACCUUCGUGGUGUGACUGCGUACCUUUUGUAUAAUGGGUCAGCGACUUAUAUUUUGUAGCAAGGUUAACCGAAUAGGGGAGCCGUAGGGAAACCGAGUCUUAACUGGGCGAAUAGUUGCAAGGUAUAGACCCGAAACCCGGUGAUCUAGCCAUGGGCAGGUUGAAGGUUGGGUAACACUAACUGGAGGACCGAACCGACUAAUGUUGAAAAAUUAGCGGAUGACUUGUGGCUGGGGGUGAAAGGCCAAUCAAACCGGGAGAUAGCUGGUUCUCCCCGAAAGCUAUUUAGGUAGCGCCUCGUGAACUCAUCUUCGGGGGUAGAGCACUGUUUCGGCUAGGGGGUCAUCCCGACUUACCAAACCGAUGCAAACUCCGAAUACCGAAGAAUGUUAUCACGGGAGACACACGGCGGGUGCUAACGUCCGUCGUGAAGAGGGAAACAACCCAGACCGCCAGCUAAGGUCCCAAAGUCAUGGUUAAGUGGGAAACGAUGUGGGAAGGCAUAGACAGCCAGGAUGUUGGCUUAGAAGCAGCCAUCAUUUAAAGAAAGCGUAAUAGCUCACUGGUCGAGUCGGCCUGCGCGGAAGAUGUAACGGGGCUAAACCAUGCACCGAAGCUGCGGCAGCGACACUUAGGUGUUGUUGGGUAGGGGAGCGUUCUGUAAGCCGUUGAAGGUGACCUGUGAGGGUUGCUGGAGGUAUCAGAAGUGCGAAUGCUGACAUAAGUAACGAUAAUGCGGGUGAAAAACCCGCACGCCGGAAGACCAAGGGUUCCUGUCCAACGUU